ACCAGGAUGGCCGAGUGGUUUUGACAUUGGACUUAAAAUCCAAUGGACAGUAUGUCCUCGUGGGUCCCAACGCCAUUCCUGGAA
rnacentral:tRNA from 1 species